AUGGCAAAAAUUGAUAUUUUCUCAUGAUCAAACUUUUUCUCCUUAUAACUAUAUUUAGCUCUGUUUCAAUUUCCUAAAGACGUUAAUCUCCGUUGCUCCUUAUGAUGUUCCUCCUCCUCUAACCCUUCACGCAUUGUCUCCGAACAUCUCCACAAUCCAGGGGCCCCAAUCUCUCCUCCUCAGUCGCAGUCUAAUCGGAAACGAAGUUCCUUUGGUGGAAGCUCUGUUGCCGUGAAUCAUCAUCACAUGACUCCUC
rnacentral:lncRNA from 1 species